rnacentral:rRNA from 1 species
GACGAACCGUGCGAACGUUGUUCGGAUUCACUGGGCUUAAAGGGCGCGUAGGCGGGCUUGUAAGUCAGGGGUGAAAUCCUCCGGCUCAACCGGAGAACAGCCUUUGAUACUGCAAGUCUCGAGGGAGAUAGGGGUCUGUGGAACUUCCGGUGGAGCGGUGAAAUGCGUAGAUAUCGGAAGGAACGCCGGUGGCGAAAGCGACGCGCUGGGCCCCUCCUGACGCUGAGGCGCGAAAGCCAGGGGAGCAAACGGG